UACGAAGGGGGCUAGCGUUGUUCGGAUUUACUGGGCGUAAAGCGCACGUAGGCGGAUCUUUAAGUCAGAGGUGAAAUCCCAAGGCUCAACCUUGGAUCUGCCUUUGAUACUGGGGAUCUUGAGUCCGGGAGAGGUGAGUGGGACUGCGAGUGUAGAGGUGAAAUUCGUAGAUAUUAGGAAGAACACCAGUGGCGAAGGCGGCUCACUGGUCCGGUACUGACGCUGAGGUGCGAAAGCGUGGGGAGCAAACAGG
rnacentral:rRNA from 1 species